CCUACGGGUGACAGCAGUGAGGAAUAUUGGUCAAUGGGCGGGAGCCUGAACCAGCCAAGCCGCGUGAGGGAAGAAGGUACUGCGUAUCGUAAACCUCUUUUGUCAGGGAACAAAGGCGGGGACUAGUCCCCGGAUGAGGGUACCUGAAGAAAAAGCAUCGGCGAACCCCGUGCCAGCAGCCGCGGGAAUACAGAGGAUGCGAGCGUUAUCCGGAUUUAUUGGGUUUAAGGGGUGCGCAGGCGGCCUGUUAAGUCAGCGGUAAAAGGGCGGGGCUAAACCCCGGCGAGCCGUUGAAACUGGCGGGCGGGAGUUGGAGAGAAGUACGCGGAAUGCGCGGUGUAGCGGUGAAAUGCUUAGAUAUCACGCAGAACCCCGAUUGCGAAGGCAGCGUACCGGCCGGUCACUGACGCUGAGGCACGAAAGCGCGGGUAUCGAACAGGAUUAGAUACCCCUGUAGUC
rnacentral:rRNA from 1 species